ensembl:snoRNA Gm25901 small nucleolar RNA SNORA17
UAGGCCCCUACUUUGCAGGUGUGGCUGCUAUAUCAUCUGUGCAUCCACAGGUGGCAGAGAGGAGAGCAUUUAUGUCUAUGUUCAGUAUUCUGAGCUGUGAACACCUGGAUGAUGAGUAGCCAGACAAU